GAGAGUGGCUCCCCAACCACAAUCAAAACUAGUCUUAAAAAAAUUGCUAAAUAAGAUCCGGAGCCAAAAAAACCAGUGGACUUCAAAAUGUGAAGCAGAGAUUCAAAGUGAAAUUGAGACAAUUGAGUCAGGAACACUUUCUAGUGAAGAGAGACGAUUAUGUGAUUCAGAUCCUGGUCAUGAACAACAUACUGAUUCAGUCUCUGAAGCCAUAGAAUCUCCAGAAAUGUUGGAGCAUACUAUUAUAGCUGGAAAUUCAGUCCUAAUCCACCCUCAAGAACAAGCAGCCAAAAUCAGAAUGGAAGUAGAGAGACAAAAACAGAUUGAGCGAAUAGAGCAACAAAAACAGCAGCAGCUAAUUUUGCUUAAGCAAAUUGAAGAAAAGAGAAUAUGCUUAGAGGCAGAGUUUCUGAAGGUCCAAAUGCAGGCUCAGCUGGAGGAAAUAAAGAAAAAAGAGCAAGAGGAG
rnacentral:lncRNA from 1 species